rnacentral:rRNA from 1 species
GGCCACUGCUAUGGGGGUCCGACUAAGCCAUGCGAGUCAAGGGGGCGUCCCUUCUGGGACGCCACCGGCGGACGGCUCAGUAACACGUCGGUAACCUACCCUCGGGAGGGGGAUAACCCCGGGAAACUGGGGCUAAUCCCCCAUAGGCCUGGGGUACUGGAAGGUCCCCAGGCCGAAAGGGAGCCGUAAGGCUCCGCCCGAGGAUGGGCCGGCGGCCGAUUAGGUAGUUGGUGGGGUAACGGCCCACCAAGCCGAAGAUCGGUACGGGCCGUGAGAGCGGGAGCCCGGAGAUGGACACUGAGACACGGGUCCAGGCCCUACGGGGCGCAGCAGGCGCGAAACCUCCGCAAUGCGGGAAACCGCGACGGGGGGACCCCCAGUGCCGUGCCUCUGGCACGGCUUUUCCGGAGUGUAAAAAGCUCCGGGAAUAAGGGCUGGGCAAGGCCGGUGGCAGCCGCCGCGGUAAUACCGGCGGCCCGAGUGGUGGCCACUAUUAUUGGGCCUAAAGCGGCCGUAGCCGGGCCCGUAAGUCCCUGGCGAAAUCCCACGGCUCAACCGUGGGGCUCGCUGGGGAUACUGCGGGCCUUGGGACCGGGAGAGGCCGGGGGUACCCCCGGGGUAGGGGUGAAAUCCUAUAAUCCCGGGGGGACCGCCAGUGGCGAAGGCGCCCGGCUGGAACGGGUCCGACGGUGAGGGCCGAAGGCCAGGGGAGCGAACCGGAUUAGAUACCCGGGUAGUCUUGGCUGUAAAGGAUGCGGGCUAGGUGUCGGGCGAGCUUCGAGCUCGCCCGGUGCCGUAGGGAAGCCGUUAAGCCCGCCGCCUGGGGAGUACGGCCGCAAGGCUGAAACUUAAAGGAAUUGGCGGGGGAGCAC